rnacentral:rRNA from 1 species
UACGUAGGGUCCGAGCGUUGUCCGGAAUUACUGGGCGUAAAGAGCUCGUAGGUGGUUUGUCGCGUUGUUCGUGAAAACUCACAGCUUAACUGUGGGCGUGCGGGCGAUACGGGCAGACUUGAGUACUGCAGGGGAGACUGGAAUUCCUGGUGUAGCGGUGGAAUGCGCAGAUAUCAGGAGGAACACCGGUGGCGAAGGCGGGUCUCUGGGCCGAUACUGACGCUGAGGAGCGAAAGCGUGGGGAGCGAACAGG